rnacentral:rRNA from 1 species
GGGAUAACUCCGGGAAACCGGGGCUAAUACCGGAUGGUUGUUUGAACCGCAUGGUUCAGACAUAAAAGGUGGCUUCGGCUACCACUUACAGAUGGACCCGCGGCGCAUUAGCUAGUUGGUGAGGUAACGGCUCACCAAGGCGACGAUGCGUAGCCGACCUGAGAGGGUGAUCGGCCACACUGGGACUGAGACACGGCCCAGACUCCUACGGGAGGCAGCAGUAGGGAAUCUUCCGCAAUGGACGAAAGUCUGACGGAGCAACGCCGCGUGAGUGAUGAAGGUUUUCGGAUCGUAAAGCUCUGUUGUUAGGGAAGAACAAGUGCCGUUCAAAUAGGGCGGCACCUUGACGGUACCUAACCAGAAAGCCACGGCUAACUACGUGCCAGCAGCCGCGGUAAUACGUAGGUGGCAAGCGUUGUCCGGAAUUAUUGGGGCGG